AAUGAGCAAAGCCCAUACCGCAUAGUCAGCUAUAAUAGGCCCCUAUAAGACAAUGUAAAACAAUUCAAAUGAGAAAACUAACGGCCUUAUUUCUGUAAAAAAAUGAACAAAAAACAAGACAAUUAUCAACUGAAAAAAGACGAUGAAGACACCACACUCAAUAAAAAAAAUCCUGACAGUACCUUGGCAUUAAAAAAGCCACCCCAUAAAUGCCCUAAAACUAUAAAUCAGCAGCAACAACAAAACAAAAAUCAUACGAAACUAAAAACUGAGCAACACAGAAACAUAAAAAG
rnacentral:lncRNA from 1 species